AGUGAAAGGGGCAGGACUGUUUUCUGUAGGGAGCCCUGUCGUUCCAUCCUGGGGCCUUAGACAAUAUUAGAAAUGUUGUGCAGCAUUUAGAAGUCUUACUAACCAGCACAGUACCGCCACGAAUGAGUGAGCCAGUGUGGUAAAGUGGAGACAUUCAUCUCUAGGAUGAAGGUCGAGAUCUCAUGUUUAUGAGAUUGUACGUUUACCAGUUUACUGGAUUACACGUUUAAGGAGUUACUGGUUCACUAAUCUACGUUAUCAUUUUGAGACUGAUGAAAUGAUGUAAAGAAGUAUCUAAUUAAAUAAAGUAACUUUAAAUUUGUAACAGUGUUGUGGU
rnacentral:lncRNA from 1 species